GGAAUUUUCCGCAAUGGGCGAAAGCCUGACGGAGCAACGCCGCGUGAGGGAUGAAGGCCUCUGGGCUGUAAACCUCUUUUUUCAAGGAAGAAGAUCUGACGGUACUUGAAGAAUAAGCCACGGCUAAUUCCGUGCCAGCAGCCGCGGUAAUACGGGAGUGGCAAGCGUUAUCCGGAAUUAUUGGGCGUAAAGCGUCCGCAGGCGGCCUUGUAAGUCUGUUGUUAAAGCGUGGAGCUUAACUCCAUUUAAGCAAUGGAAACUGCAAGGCUUGAGUGUGGUAGGGGCAGAGGGAAUUCCCGGUGUAGCGGUGAAAUGCGUAGAUAUCGGGAAGAACACCAGUGGCGAAGGCGCUCUGCUGGGCCAUAACUGACGCUCAUGGACGAAAGCCAGGGGAGCGAAAGGGAUUAGAUACCCCUGUAGUC
rnacentral:rRNA from 1 species